GCGGCAAAAGCUCAGAUUUGAAAGCCUCUCGGGGCAUUGUAUUCUGAAGCCUUGAUCCUGGGAAACGAUGUCUAAGUCUUCUGGAAAGGAGCGCCAUGGAGGGUGACAGCCCCGUACGACAUUGACCCCAUUGUAGGAUCUUGGCGUGGAGUCGAGUUGUUUGGGAAUGCAGCUCAAACGGGUGGUAUGCUCCAUCUAAAGCUAAAUAUCUGCGAGAGACCGAUAGCGAACAAGUACUGUGAAGGAAAGAUGAAAAGAACUUUGAAAAGAGAGUGAAAAAGUACGUGAAAUUGUUGAAAUGGAAGGGUAGGCCGCUAACCACGUAGAGUCGUGUCUGGGGGGAAGAUAAAAGCCUGAGAAUGUAGCUCCUCGGAGUAUUAUAGCUCAGGUCAAUAUUCCCAUCCGGGCGCGAGGACCUCAGAC
rnacentral:rRNA from 1 species